rnacentral:lncRNA from 1 species
GUAAGAUCCAUUGAUUGUUCUGUAGUCUAACAGAAAGGGCGCUGCACCUAAGCCUGAUUAUUCAGUGUCCUCCAUUCAGAGGGGACUUGAUGGAGUAGGCCUAUUGGAGAAGUUGGAAUCUAUUUAGAGGACAGCAAGCAGAUUUGAACAAUACAGUGCCUUCGAAUUUAGAAAAUCAGUAAUAGGUUCUAAUUUAAAGGCCAGUCUGAGUUUUAAAAGAAGUAACAAAAAUUGUAUGUAAUAAUAGUAAAGUGUAGACAAAUAACUGGUGAACUAGUAGUUAGAAGAGUGCGCAAAGUGUGCUAAGAUUUUAACUUGAAUAGUUUAGUGCCUGUAUUCAUGUUAUAUUUGUGCAUAUAAAUAUAUGACAUUUUAUAUUUCUGUAACUUAAAUGAAGUUUUCUUUAUGAAGUAUGCUUUGCAAUUGUUUAAAUCACAUCUAAAACUUUGGUUUAUAUUUGAAAGAAUGGCAGUGUGAUUAGGAAUCAAUAACUUGAAUUGGUGACUUUUGUCAAAUUUCUUCCUUGAGUUUCUUUUCUCUGAUUCUUGGAAUGUAAAGCUAAUAUCUCAAAUACCAGGUAAAAGUAUUAGAUAGAGACAUGAUAGGUAUCUUUGGGGGGUUGUUUUGGUUUUGUUUGUUUGUUUGUUUUGUCUAGCAAGGUUCUUGUUACUGUUUGGAAGGUGUUAAUAUCUGCCAUAUGUGGAAGGUCUGUUCCUUAUUCAGAAGUCACUUUGGAGAUCUUACUACCCAGGGAAAAUGUAGCUUGGUAAUGAGAACUACAGUAGUUUUUACUAAAAGAAGUUUUGUUUGCUUUUGUUUUUGAUUUAAGAAGUUGGUUUCUAUCAGAUCUGAAAAGAGUUUUCUAAAAGAAAAUUUUGGACUACUUAUGGAGAUGAUUUUUGCUUGAGUUGUUUAAUCUGGAAUUGCUAGCAUGAUGGGUUACUGUGCUGUUGAAAAAAGGUUUGUUUAUAUGACUCUGUUCAUAACUUUGCCUUUUUAACGCUUUCUAAACUUCCUUUUCUUUAUUGUAUUAUCUGUUGCUAUCUAUAUAAGUAGUAACAUAAGAACCUUGCCAUCCAAAAAUUACACAGUAUUUCGCUUUACAUUCCAAGAAUCAGAGAAAGAAGCUUGAAGAAGGACUAUGACAAAGAAAUAACCAAUUCAUCUCCCAAACUUGGUAGCUUGUAGUGUAACAAUUUAUUUUCCUCUACUGUAUUUAGUCUUUUGAGGGAGGAACUCCCUAUUUUUCAAAUUGGCAUGCUAAUUCACAUUUCCAUCAGAAGUGCAGCAUUCUUUUUUUCCUAGGUCCUUACACUUAAUCAUUCUUCUUGAUAAUAGUUUGAGUUGACAAUUUCAUUGUGUUAUCAGUAUUUAUAACCAUGGGGGUUUUGUUUAGUGUUUCUAGGUGGGCAUAUGGCGUAUACUUGUAAAUCCAAGCAUUCAGAUGUCUUAGAAGGAUUACCACUAAAUUCCAGUCCAGCCUCAGCUACAAAUGUAAAACCUUGUCUCCAGCAACCAAGAACAACAGAACCUAAAUUUAAUACCCACAGCCUUUAACAAAAAGUUUGAUACCCAGUUCCAGUAUCACCUACCUGGGGGUAGUAUCAUCCUAUUUCACAAGUCGCUCCCACAGAAUUGUUAACCACUUCCAUUGCCAAUUUCAAGUCCCUGGUUUUUCUACUAGUGCUUUCUACCAAUACCGUUUUCUACAUUGGACCAACAAAUUUGCUAGAGUGGUUCAUAGGACAUGAAAAACAGAAUAUAAAGGAAAUAUGAAAGGAUUUAGAUGCAUAGGGCAAGGAGUAUCAGCUGAAAAGGUAAAGAGCAUCCAUACCCUUUCUGCCAUGAUGGACCACCUUCCAGGAACCUGUGUUCACUCAGUCCAGGCUUUUUGAAUUUUUCUGGAAGCUUUACUGAGUGAAAUGGUUGAUUUAAUCACUGGUUAUUAGUGGUUAGCCAACUUAGCCCUGGACUUCCUGCAGGUAAAGCGAAGUUUCAAAUAUUCAAUCACACCUUAAUAUUUAAUGUUUACUGUCCUAAAGCUACCCAGAAACUACUAGUCUCAGUCUUUUAAUUGGCAUACAAGGACAAUUACUAGAUAUUCUUAAGUACUGUAUACUCUUAUUUUACUUUUUGUUUUAGUUGUAGGUUAAAAACAGGACUCUCAUUGGUUUUCCUUUUAUUUUCUUUUUUUUCCCUAAACUACUAAAAUGCAAAGUAGAAGUGUGUGAAUGAAUUGGUCUUUAUUUUCUCUCAAGAAUAAUGUGGGGCAGGAAGCUUCUGAAGAUAGGAGUUUGAUGCAAACCUAGUGGCGUACACAGUAGUCCCAGCAGGCAGGAGAAUGUUGGUUUGAACCCAGCUGGCAUUGUUUAGUUUUAGACCUUGUCCUAAUUUAAAAAAAAAAGUGACGUGGAUGUGGCUUUUCCGAAAAACAGUUCAUUGUCUUUAAUUAGACAGCGUCUUGCAUAUCUUGCUGUGGGGGGUGUUUUAUUUCUCAUAAAUAAUAAAAACACAUGGGAUCUCUAUGAUCAAAACUUCUUUGAGAUAAUCUCUUCCGUUUUUGCCCAAACUAGCCU